rnacentral:rRNA from 1 species
UGCAGCAGGGUCACCACCUUGCAGCUUGAUCUUAUGAGAUCUCAAAGCUAAGCAAGACUGGACCUGGUUAGUACUGUGCCUGGAGACUUCCAAGGAAAACCAGAGUGUUGCUGUAA